AUGGCUGUCGUCAGCUCGUGUCGUGAGAUGUUGGGUUAAGUCCCGCAACGAGCGCAACCCUCGCCUUUAGUUGCCAGCGGUUCGGCCGGGCACUCUAGAGGAACUGCCGGUGAUAAGCCGGAGGAAGGUGGGGAUGACGUCAAGUCCUCAUGGCCCUUAUGGGCUGGGCUACACACGUGCUACAAUGGCGGUGACAAUGGGUAGCGACAUCGCAAGGUGAAGCAAAUCCCAAAAAGUCGUCUCAGUUCGGAUUGCACUCUGCAACUCGAGUGCAUGAAGGUGGAAUCGCUAGUAAUCGCGUAUCAGCAUGACGCGGUGAAUACGUUCCCGGGCCUUGUACACACCGCCCGUCACACCAUGGGAGUUGGUUUUACCCGAAGACGGUGUGCUAACCGCAAGGAGGCAGCCGGCCACGGUAGGGUCAGCGACUGGGGUGAAGUCGUAACAAGGUAGCCGUAGGGGAACCUGCGGCUGGAUCACCUCCUUUCUAAGGAUCUGGAUGUCAGUAUGCGGACUUUUGUUCGCCUCUAUUACAUCCGGGUAUUAGAAUAAUGAGAUGGUGGUAACGCCAUCUUUAACUAUCGGCGGGGAUAUCGCCCCCUUCGUUUCUCUUUCUCGUUCGGGACAACGCACGCUUAUCAGCGGGGCCUGUAGCUCAGGUGGUUAGAGCGCACGCCUGAUAAGCGUGAGGUCGGUAGUUCAAGUCUACCCAGGCCCACCAUUCAGCCAUCUGAAAUCAACCGCCAAAUGGCGGUGCGGCUGAAGGCCGAUUUCUUGACAUCUGAGUAUUGAUCUCUGAUCUGGGGCCAUAGCUCAGUUGGGAGAGCGCCUGCUUUGCAAGCAGGAGGUCGUCGGUUCGAUUCCGUCUGGCUCCACCAUUGAUUUUGAUGGUUGAGCGAGCGCAUUGUCCGGCGAAAAGAUUGAAGACUUGAAUGCAAGUCCCGUAAAGAUUUCCGCUCAUUGACAUCGUUUAGAAGGAUUUACCUUGUGUGCAAAUGCGCAUGGGGUAGGUUCAUGAGUUCUUUCUAGUCUUUACUUUGUACUUUACUAAAAAAUGUCAGUUUACUGAUAUUUUACUGUGCACCGGUAAUGGCGAGAAUAAUCAAGCAAGAGAAGGGCGUUUGGUGAAUGCCUAGGUGCUGAGAGGCGAUGAAGGACGUGGCACGCUGCGAUAAGCCACGGGGAGCUGUGAGCAAGCUUUGAUCCGUGGAUUUCCGAAUGGGGAAACCCGG
rnacentral:sRNA from 1 species